GAUGAAGAACGUAGCGAAAUGCGAUACGUAAUGUGAAUUGCAGAAUUCAGUGAAUCAUCGAAUCUUUGAACGCAUAUUGCGCUCUCUGGUAUUCCGGAGAGCAUGCUUGUUUGAGUAUCAGUAAACACCUCAACUUCCAUAUCUUUUUUGAAAUGGGAGUUGGACUUGAGUGAUCCCAACGCUUUUCCUCACCGAAAAGUGGCGGGUUACUUGAAAUGCAGGUGCAGCUGGACUUUUCUCUGAGCUAUAAGCAUAUCUAUUUAGUCUGCCUAAAAAACAGAUUAUUACCUUUGCUGCAGCUAACAUAAAGGAGAUUAGUUCUUGUGCUGACUGAUGCAGGAUUCACAAAGACAGCUUCGGCCGACUUUGUAAACUCGAUCUCAAAUCACGUAAGACUACCCGCUGAACUUAAGCAUAUCAAUAAGCGGAGGA
rnacentral:misc_RNA from 1 species